rnacentral:rRNA from 1 species
AUUGAACGCUGGCGGCAGGCCUAACACAUGCAAGUCGAACGCGUGGCGGACGGGUGAGUAAUGUCUGGGAAACUGCCUGAUGGAGGGGGAUAACUACUGGAAACGGUAGCUAAUACCGCAUACCAUCGGAUGUGCCCAGAUGGGAUUAGCUGGUUGGUGGGGUAAAGGCUCACCCAGGCGACGAUCCCUAGCUGGUCUGAGAGGAUGACCAGCCACACUGGAACUGAGAAACGGUCCAGACUCCUACGGGAGGCAGCAGUGGGGAAUAUUGCACAAUGUGCGCAAGCCUGAUGCAGCCAUGCCGCGUGUAUGAAGAAGGCCUUCGGGUUGUAAAGUACUUUCAGCGGGGAGGCGUUACCCGCAGAAGAAGCACCGGCUAACUCCGUGCCAGCAGCCGCGGUAAUUC